UCAAAUAAAAGAGCCUCAGGGAGCUCUGACAGGUUUAAAACAGUCUAAAAAUCAUUGAUUCAUGAUGUUUUUGUCCAGAUUUUAAUGUUCAAUGGGCAAAUUUAAAAAUGAGAUGGUUUUA